rnacentral:rRNA from 1 species
GACGUAGGAGGCGAGCGUUAUCCGGAUUCACUGGGCGUAAAGCGCAUGUAGGCGGUUCGAUAAGUCCGCUGUUAAAGCCCCCGGCUCAACUGGGGGAGGUCAGUGGAGACUAUAGGACUUGAGGGCAACAGAGGCACGUGGAACUCCCGGUGUAGCGGUGGAAUGCGUAGAGAUCCGGAAGAACACCGGUGGCGAAGGCGGCCUGCUGGGCAGUUGCUGACACUGAGGCGCGACAGCGUGGGGAGCAAACAGG